UACGUAGGGGGCGAGCGUUGUCCGGAUUUACUGGGCGUAAAGAGCGCGCAGGCGGCUGGUCAAGUCCGAUGUGAAAGCUCCCGGCUUAACUGGGAAAUUGCAUCGGAAACUGAUCGGCUGGAAGGUGGGAGAGGGUAGCGGAAUUCCCGGUGUAGUGGUGAAAUGCGUAGAUAUCGGGAGGAACACCAGUGGCGAAAGCGGCUACCUGGCCCAUUCUUGACGCUGAGGCGCGAAAGCUAGGGGAGCAAACGGG
rnacentral:rRNA from 1 species